AUACGAAGGGGGCUAGCGUUGCUCGGAAUUACUGGGCGUAAAGGGAGCGUAGGCGGACUGUUUAGUCAGAGGUGAAAGCCCAGGGCUCAACCUUGGAAUUGCCUUUGAUACUGGCAGUCUUGAGUACGGAAGAGGUAUGUGGAACUCCGAGUGUAGAGGUGAAAUUCGUAGAUAUUCGGAAGAACACCAGUGGCGAAGGCGACAUACUGGUCCGUUACUGACGCUGAGGCUCGAAAGCGUGGGGAGCAAACAGGAGUAGAAACCCUAGUAGUCC
rnacentral:rRNA from 1 species